GAUGAACGCUGGCGGCGUGCCUAAUACAUGCAAGUCGAGCGAACGGACGAUAAGCUUGCUUCUCUGAUGUUAGCGGCGGACGGGUGAGUAACACGUGGAUAACCUACCUAUAAGACUGGGAUAACUUCGGGAAACCGUAGCUAAUACCGGCUAAUAUUUUGAACCGCAUGGUUCAAAAGUGAAAGACGGUCUUGCUGUCACUUAUAGAUGGAUCCGCGCUGCAUUAGCUAGUUGGUAAGGUAACGGCUUACCAAGGCAACGAUGCAUAGCCGACCUGAGAGGGUGAUCGGCCACACUGGAACUGAGACACGGUCCAGACUCCUACGGGAGGCAGCAGUAGGGAAUCUUCCGCAAUGGGCGAAAGCCUGACGGAGCAACGCCGCGUGAGUGAUGAAGGUCUUCGGAUCGUAAAACUCUGUUAUUAGGGAAGAACAUAUGUGUAAGUAACUGUGCACAUCUUGACGGUACCUAAUCAGAAAGCCACGGCUAACUACGUG
rnacentral:rRNA from 1 species